GAUGAACGCUAGCUACAGGCUUAACACAUGCAAGUCGAGGGGUAACGAGAGGAAAGCUUGCUUUCCUUGUCGACGACCGGCGCACGGGUGAGUAACGCGUAUCCAACCUGCCCCCAACUAGGGAAUAACCUUGCGAAAGUAAGACUAAUACCCUAUAAUUUCCUCAGAUGUCAUCUGACGAGGAAUAAAGAUUUAUCGGUUGUGGAUGGGGAUGCGUCUGAUUAGCUUGUUGGCGGGGUAACGGCCCACCAAGGCAACGAUCAGUAGGGGUUCUGAGAGGAAGGUCCCCCACAUUGGAACUGAGACACGGUCCAAACUCCUACGGGAGGCAGCAGUGAGGAAUAUUGGUCAAUGGGCGGAAGCCUGAACCAGCCAAGUAGCGUGCAGGAUGACGGCCCUAUGGGUUGUAAACUGCUUUUAUACAGGAAUAAAGUUAGCCACGUGUGGUUAUUUGUAGGUACUGUAUGAAUAAGGACCGGCUAAUUCCGUGCCAGCCGCCGCCGUAA
rnacentral:rRNA from 1 species